CCUACUUCACGUUUUUCUUUCUCGAUCUCUUCACAUGACAAACCCCAUCUAUGCCGGCGAGCCCCUCUCUGCCUAACCCCUCUACGCUGCCUAAACGCCUUUGUGUCCCCCCCUCCUUUGCAUUUUCCUUCCUAAACGUAAACGUCUAAACGACUUCCCGAACUCAAAGCAGCAAAACAAUCCGUCCAACCUACAAUCUCUUCGCCUAGCUCUCUGCAUUUUGAUGAACUGAGAGGGGGGCGAGCUUCCCCUCUGCAUUCUUUUCCUCGCCCCGCAUGCCACACCGAAGCCCUCUCCCACAACCUCGCCAUCGCCAGCGGCCUCCCGCCCCUCCUCCAACUCUGCCGCCACCUCGCUGCCACCAAAAGCCCCUCGACUUCCCUGACGAGCUCUUCUUCAUCUUGUAAGAGGCAAGGAUGAACCAGGCACUGUUGCAGGAUCAGGAGCAAUGGAGGGACGCAAUGGUCAUGGUGGACUUGGAGAGGAGGUUCUAGGUCUUCAAUGAUUUGGUGCAGAGGGCCUCUAAGGUGGUGUCUCCUGAGGAUGUCAGUGAAAGGGGAUCUGAGGAGGUGGGAUUCAAGGUUUGGUUUGAUGUGGCAGUGUCUAGAUUUAGGAGGAGUUUGAGCUUGAUUGGUAAGGAGAAUGAUGGCAACUUGGGUGAUUCUGAUUACUCCAGUGGGUCGGCUUAUCCCUUCAAAUAUGAGCUACCUUCCGGUCAGAUCCUUUUCCCCCCAAUUUCACUCCUUUUCCCCCCAAUUUCACUGCUCUUUUCUUAGUUUUUUUUUAACUUAUUUUCCUUCUUGAUUGACAAGGAGAAGGAUGGCAAGUAGGAUGAUUAGCUUGAACAACACAUGGUCAUAAUAAAUCUAGGGAUGCUUCGAGAACACAGGAUUCAAUACAUGUAGACCAUUUGAUUAGAGAUGAUCCUUCAAAUGUGAAAGCAUAUGAUUUUGAGUCCCAUCUUCCUAUUGAAGAACUUUUCAUGAGAGUUUCUUUUCGUCAGAAAAAUUUUGUUGAGAGUUUGCAAGGAUGCACAGAGAAGUAUGAUACAAUUCUUUGAUAUUCUAAUCUCAUACACAAAGAUAUCUGCUAUGUUGUCUAAGAAGACUAUAAGAGAUGUCGCAUUGAGGUGCCAAUGGAUCACAGUAAGCUCCUUGUUUACUAUGAUGACUUUUAUGUAAAAUUCUGAUUUGGUGUUUAUGUUUUUACUUGUGCUCAGCUACCUUGAAUUCCUAAUAAUGACCUUUUGCC